GCAAGGCGCGCGACAGGCCACCGCCUCCGCUCUGCGCUUAGCCAUCAAGGCCGUCUUUGGCCGAGCUAAUUAAGCUUCACUGCGCAGGCGUCACUGCUGAAAACGGGGGGCGGGGCUACUGGAAGAGCGCACAGGACAGCGUGAUAAUUUUGGUUUGUACUCCGGUCGCGUGCGCCCUCUGUCGGGGACGUAAUAAAUAGCCGUCAGUCCAAUACCGAUAGUCCUUGGUAAGCUUGAGGGUUACCCAAGCUGCUUCAUCAACAGGCACAGCAAAACAAGAGACCCCAAACCGUGAAUUUCAACUGCCAGUAAAAAGAAAGUAUGUAUUGAGCUGCCGUUUAAGGGGGAUCAAAUAUCGUGCCUGAUGACCCGAUGUUUAAAUACCUUGAUUGAAACAAUGUUCAGUAUGGCCGAGCUUUACAUACUGCAUCAAAUCCAGAGGCUACUACUGCCAUCAAUCAAGAAAGCACAACCUAUCAGUACCAAAGCCCAUUGUAUGUACUAAUGUGUUUGUACUGGAGAUAAUUACAUCAGCAGAAUCAGUAGGUGCCUGGCAUGGAAUGAAGGAGCACUUUCCAAAAUGGGUUCAAACAGAGAGUAGUCCAACCACAAACCAGGGCCACAAAAUGCUACCACCUGCUAUCGCGAGACAUAUACUAGCUGGUCAUCAAGCCGAUUCAAACAUUGCAUUCCAGGUUUUGCUACCCACAGGAACUCUCGUUUUCUCCAUUUCAUGGAAGCAGUUCAAUUAAUUGAAGCCUCCUUUCUAUGUGCAGAAACACCUGUAUGUCAAUCUAUGCCUUCCGUGGACGUAAGGUGUCAUGGAAUGGUUUUCUGUAUCUGUCACGUUUAACUAAUACUCUUCGCUAAACCCUAUGUUCUAUGUUGUUUUUAACCAUGUUAUUGUAAGUUUGGUACUGACCAGUGAAUACAAAAUGCUUGCAUCUA